rnacentral:rRNA from 1 species
GACGAACGCUGGCGGCGUGCUUAACACAUGCAAGUCGAACGGUAAGGCCCUUCGGGGUACACGAGUGGCGAACGGGUGAGUAACACGUGGGUGAUCUGCCCUGCACUUCGGGAUAAGCCUGGGAAACUGGGUCUAAUACCGGAUAGGACCACUGCCUGCAUGGGUGGUGGUGGAAAGCUUUUGCGGUGUGGGAUGGGCCCGCGGCCUAUCAGCUUGUUGGUGGGGUGAUGGCCUACCAAGGCGACGACGGGUAGCCGGCCUGAGAGGGUGACCGGGCACACUGGGACUGAGAGACGGCCCAGACUCCUACGGGAGGCAGCAGUGGGGAAUAUUGCACAAUGGGCGCAAGCCUGAUGCAGCAACGCCGCGUGAGGGAUGACGGCCUUCGGGUUGUAAACCUCUUUUAGUAGGGAAGAAGCGAAAGUGACGGUACCUGCAGAAAAAGCACCGGCUAACUACGUGCCAGCCGCCGCCGUAA